GCGCCCAUAGCUCAACUGGAUAGAGCGUCGGACUACGAAUCCGCAGGUUGGGGGUUCGAAUCCUCCUGGGCGCGCCA
rnacentral:tRNA from 1 species